UCCCUGAUGUUAGCGGCGGACGGGUGAGUAACACGUGGGUAACCUGCCUGUAAGACUGGGAUAACUCCGGGAAACCGGGGCUAAUACCGGAUGGUUGUCUGAACCGCAUGGUUCAGACAUAAAAGGUGGCUUCGGCUACCACUUACAGAUGGACCCGCGGCGCAUUAGCUAGUUGGUGAGGUAACGGCUCACCAAGGCGACGAUGCGUAGCCGACCUGAGAGGGUGAUCGGCCACACUGGGACUGAGACACGGCCCAGACUCCUACGGGAGGCAGCAGUAGGGAAUCUUCCGCAAUGGACGAAAGUCUGACGGAGCAACGCCGCGAGAGUGAUGAAGGUUUUCGGAUCGUAAAGCUCUGUUGUUAGGGAAGAACAAGUGCCGUUCAAAUAGGGCGGCACCUUGACGGUACCUAACCAGAAAGCCACGGCUAACUACGUGCCAGCAGCCGCGGUAAUACGUAGGUGGCAAGCGUUGUCCGGAAUUAUUGGGCGUAAAGGGCUCGCAGGCGGUUUCUUAAGUCUGAUGUGAAAGCCCCCGGCUCAACCGGGGAGGGUCAUUGGAAACUGGGGAACUUGAGUGCAGAAGAGGAGAGUGGAAUU
rnacentral:rRNA from 1 species